GGGGCGGUAGUUAAUUAUAUAACACCAGUUUGUCAUGUUGGAAUAGCUUUUUUAUGGAGUUCGUCCUU
rnacentral:tRNA from 1 species